rnacentral:tRNA from 1 species
AAGCUUAGGAUAAACAAACCGAGGGCCUUCAAAGCCCUAAACAAGGGUACCAACCCCUUAGCCUCUGUCU